rnacentral:rRNA from 1 species
AUUGAACGCUGGCGGCGUGCCUAACACAUGCAAGUCGAGCGGUAACAGGUGUAGCAAUACAUGCUGACGAGCGGCGAACGGGUGAGUAAUGCUUCGGAAUCUACCUUAUGGUGGGGAAUAACUAGCCGAAAGGUUAGCUAAUACCGCAUACGUCCUACGGGAGAAAGCAGGGGAUCGCAAGACCUUGCGCCAAGAGAUGAGCCGAAGUCGGAUUAGCUAGUUGGUAGGGUAACGGCCUACCAAGGCGACGAUCCGUAGCUGGUCUGAGAGGACGACCAGCCACACUGGGACUGAGACACGGCCCAGACUCCUACGGGAGGCAGAAGUGGGGAAUAUUGGACAAUGGGGGAAACCCUGAUCCAGCGACGCCGCGUGAGUGAAGAAGGCCUGCGGGUUGUAAAGCACUUUUAGUGGGGAUGAAAUGUGCAGGGUUAAUACCUCUGCAUUUUGACCUAACCCACAGAAAAAGCACCGGCUAACUCUGUGCCAGCCGCCGCCGUAA